rnacentral:misc_RNA from 1 species
UCUCGGCUUAUCACCGGCAGUCCCCCUAGAGUGCCCAACUGAAUGAUGGCAAUUAAGGGCGAGGGUUGCGCUCGUUGCGGGACUUAACCCAACAUCUCACGACACGAACUGACGACAGCCAUGCAGCACCUAACCGCAGGUUCUCCGAAGAGCACCCCGAUCUUUCGACCAGGUUCCUGCGUUUUCUAGCCCAGGUAAGGUUCUGCGCGUUGCGUCGAAUUGAACCACAUGCUCCACCGCUUGUGCGGGCCCCCGUCAAUUCCUUUGAGUUUUAAUCUUGCGACCGUACUCCCCAGGCGGAAUGCUUAAAGCGUUAGCUGCGCCACUGACAGGCAAGCCUGCCAACGGCUAGCAUUCAUCGUUUACGGCGUGGACUAC